rnacentral:rRNA from 1 species
AUACAUGCAAGUCGAGCGAAUGAUGAAGAAGCUUGCUUCUUCUGAUUUAGCGGCGGACGGGUGAGUAACACGUGGGCAACCUACCUAGUAGAUUGGGAUAACUCCGGGAAACCGGGGCUAAUACCGAAUAAUCCAUUUCACCUCAUGGUGAAAUGCUGAAAGGCGGUUUCGGCUGUCACUACUAGAUGGGCCCGCGGUGCAUUAGCUAGUUGGUGGGGUAAUGGCCUACCAAGGCAACGAUGCAUAGCCGACCUGAGAGGGUGAUCGGCCACAUUGGGACUGAGACACGGCCCAAACUCCUACGGGAGGCAGCAGUAGGGAAUCUUCCACAAUGGACGAAAGUCUGAUGGAGCAACGCCGCGUGAGUGAUGAAGGUUUUCGGAUCGUAAAACUCUGUUGUAAGGGAAGAACAAGUACGUUAGUAACUGAACGUACCUUGACGGUACCUUAUUAGAAAGCCACGGCUAACUACGUGCCAGCAGCCGCGGUAAUACGUAGGUGGCAAGCGUUGUCCGGAUUUAUUGGGCGUAAAGCGCGCGCAGGUGGUUUCUUAAGUCUGAUGUGAAAGCCCACGGCUCAACCGUGGAGGGUCAUUGGAAACUGGGAGACUUGAGUGCAGAAGAGGAAAGUGGAAUUCCAAGUGUAGCGGUGAAAUGCGUAGAGAUUUGGAGGAACACCAGUGGCGAAGGCGACUUUCUGGUCUGUAACUGACACUGAGGCGCGAAAGCGUGGGGAGCAAACAGGAUUAGAUACCCUGGUAGUCCACGCCGUAAACGAUGAGUGCUAAGUGUUAGGGGGUUUCCGCCCCUUAGUGCUGCAGCUAACGCAUUAAGCACUCCGCCUGGGGAGUACGGCCGCAAGGUUGAAACUCAUGA